UGGCUCAGUUGGUAGAGCAUGGCGCUUGCAACGCCAGGGUUGUGGGUUCAAUUCCCAC
rnacentral:tRNA from 1 species